AUUGAACGCUGGCGGAAUGCUUUACACAUGCAAGUCGAACGGCAGCACGGGGCAACCUGGUGGCGAGUGGCGAACGGGUGAGUAAUACAUCGGAACGUGCCCAAUCGUGGGGGAUAACGUAGCGAAAGUUACGCUAAUACCGCAUACGAUCUACGGAUGAAAGCGGGGGAUCGCAAGACCUCGCGCGAAUGGAGCGGCCGAUGUCAGAUUAGGUAGUUGGUGAGGUAAAGGCUCACCAAGGCGACGAUCCGUAGCUGGUCUGAGAGGACGACCAGCCACACUGGAACUGAGACACGGUCCAGACUCCUACGGGAGGCAGCAGUGGGGAAUUUUGGACAAUGGGGGCAACCCUGAUCCAGCCAUUCCGCGUGAGUGAAGAAGGCCUCGGUUG
rnacentral:rRNA from 1 species